rnacentral:sRNA from 1 species
GAAACUGGUCCCCCAUUGACAGCACUCUGACUUCUCCGUCAGGCUCUAUCAACAUGUCUACGGUGAGGUUGGUGAUGCUGUCUGCAGGCACCUUGUGAUGGUCACCGGGAACCCACGCUUCAGACCUACCACAGCCUGACCUGCAGUGUCCUCUGCACUCUGUGAACUUCAGUCUUUCUUUGAUGCUGCCAUCUCUUUCGUCCGUGCCCACUGUGCUGACAGACAGCUGACUCCAACAGCUUUGACAAGAAAGCCCAAACUCUCGACUGAAACUGUAAAGGUGGGAUUUGAAGUGGCGGGACAAGUUCUAGAGUCAGCCUUGUGCAACCUGAAAUGCUGCAAACCACAGUGUCUCAUGGAGGCUUAGAUUUUUCAAAGACCCACUUUAAUAAGGUUCUUAAAUGCUUCAACCUCCCUGAUAGCUCAGGGAUCAAAGGUAGAGGAGGAAGAUGGCUAAUAGGAAAAGAGGGACGUGGAUCUCUUUAGAAGUAGUUCUUUGAGGUGAUUCCAAUCUUCAUUGUCAGAAGUCCAGUCCAUUUGAAUCAGUAGCAGCAGCCUGAUCCAGAGGAAACUGAGAGGCUUUGCCGGUCAGCAUGGAUUCCUUGGUGCAUUUCUCUCCACUAAGUUAUGACAAGUGAAUAUCAAGGAAGGAAGCAAGGUGAACCAAUGAAUAAUGUUAUCAGGGAAGACCAGAGUCAGUGAAGGCCAAUGAAGACCACAAGUUAUUGUGAAAAACUGGCAGUUAAAUUCAAUUGAUUCAAAUUUUUCUGGAUCCAUAUGGCCGCCAACCCUGGAGCUGAAGCGGCGGCGGCGCCUCUCCGCUGUUUUCAAGCAUUUGCCUCUCCUCCAGUCCCCAGAUGGUGGGAGUAACAUUUAAACCUCCUUUUCUCUGCCUUGUACAAUAGACCUUGGCACCAUUUCAACUGUUUACUCCGGUAAUUAACAGCUCUGAUACCACAACAAUUACAACUCCUCCACUCUCCACAAUAAUGCUAUGAAUUAGUGAGAGCUAAUGGCUGGAAGGUAGAGUGUUUCCAGACUGUGAGAUCUGUGCAUUUUUAGAAUAAAAUAAAAGGUACAAACAGCACGCUUGCAGUAGACAAUGAUUACCUAGUAAUUAGUUUACACAAAGCUUCCUAUUUAAUGGCAAAACGCUGUAAUUAACGUGUGACAGAAAAUCAAAGGGUACUUUGUAAGCAUAUGAAAAAUUAACACUGCAGGCCCAUAGCUUUAUGUACUGAUUAGAAGCAUAUUAAAUCAAUAGGACACACAAGCCAACAGCUUGUAUAGCUGAUUAUUAUAGGUCCUCGGAAGGGGUGCCCAGGCUUUCAUUUAACUGGGGAGGCAAUUUUCCUUCUCCUGUCAUCAUCCUCAGGCACAGAGAAGCACCUCAAACUCAACCCUGGCAGCACCAUGAAAAUAACCACUGAACUGGAAGAAAACAUUCUAAGUCAUUCUCAGAGCUAAGAAAAAUUAUGUACAUGAUUAAGACUUUCCAGUGAUCUUGGUGACAUGCUGCUAUACUAAUUAGAAAAUAUGUCAACUGGAACCAGAAGCAUCCAGACUCAAUGUUUUGGUCAGAAUAAUCUCUACUUUAUCAAGCCUUUUUAUUCAACAUGGAGAAAGCUCUAAUAAACACAUUGUUUUCUAUUCUCAAAUGGUCUUAAUUGCAACCAGCCAAAGCUCAGUCAAAAAUUAGAAGAGGAGGAAGGAGGGGUGAUCUUUGUGUUCCAAGUCUGAGCCUACCUCUAAGACUAGUGUCUGCAUAAGACUCCACAGUGGCGCCCGCCCCAUACACAGCCCUGCUUUCAUCUGUUGUCUACGGUGCACCAAUAAGAGAAUUCACAGCAUCCUGUCACAAACUGCUAUGCAAAUGAUGCCAUUUGUAACGUUAUCAUUGCUGCGAUGAAGCACCAUCACCAAAACAACUCGGGGAAGAAAGGGUCUAUUCAGUUUCCACUUCCGCCUCACUGUCCAGCACGAAGAAGCCAGGACAGGAACCCAGCCAGAGGCAGGAGAUGAUGUAGAGGCCAUAGGAGAGGUGCUGCUUACUGGUUUGCUUCUGUUGGCUUGCUCAGCCAGCCUUCUUAUAGAACCCAGGACCA